rnacentral:ncRNA from 2 species
UCGCUGGUAAGCGCGAUGUGUACAGGCAAUUCCGGUGUGAAUCCGGAGCGGUUGCGCCACUGUGAUCGGACCUCAGCGGUUCCGAGAGCCAGAAAACUGACACAUCGCUUCGGUUCGAA